AUUGAACGCUGGCGGCCGGCCUAACACAUGCAAGUCGAACGAGUGGCGGACGGGUGAGUAAUGUCUGGUAAACUGCCCGAUGGAGGGGGAUAACUACUGGAAACGCUAGCUAAUACCUCAUACCAUCGGAUGUGCCCAGAUGGGAGUGGCUAGUAGGUGGGUUAACGGCUCACCUAGGCGACGAUCCCUAGCUGGUCUGAGAGGAGGACCAGCCACACGGGAACUGAGAAACGGUCCAGACUCCUACGCAAGGCAGCAGUGGGGAAUAUUGCACAAUGGGAGCAAGCCUGAUGCUGCCAUGCCGCGUGUAUGAAGAAGGCCUUCGGGUUGUAAAGUCCUUUCAGCGAGGAGGCGUUACUCGCAGAAGAAGCACCGGGUAAAUCAGUGCCAGCAGCCGCGGUAAUAC
rnacentral:rRNA from 1 species